rnacentral:rRNA from 1 species
AGCGAACGCUGGCGGCAGGCUUAACACAUGCAAGUCGAGCGGGCACUUCGGUGUCAGCGGCCGACGGGUGAGUAACACGUGGGAACGUACCCUUUGGUUCGGAAUAACGCUGGGAAACUAGCGCUAAUACCGGAUACGCCCUUUUGGGGAAAGGCUUGCUGCCGAAGGAUCGGCCCGCGUCUGAUUAGCUAGUUGGUGGGGUAAUGGCCUACCAAGGCGACGAUCAGUAGCUGGUCUGAGAGGAUGAUCAGCCACUCUGGGACUGAGACACGGCCGAGACUCCUACGGGAGGCAGCAGUGGGGAAUAUUGGAAAACGGGCGCAGGCAUGAUCCAGCUAUGCCGGGAGAGUGAUGAAGGCGGUAGGGUUGUACAGCUCUUUUGUCCGGGACGAUAAUGACGGUACCGGAAGAAUAAGCCCCGGCUAACUUCGUG